AGUGAACGCUGGCGGUAGGCCUAACACAUGCAAGUCGAACGGCAGCACAGUAAGAGCUUGCUCUUACGGGUGGCGAGUGGCGGACGGGUGAGGAAUACAUCGGAAUCUACUUUUUCGUGGGGGAUAACGUAGGGAAACUUACGCUAAUACCGCAUACGACCUACGGGUGAAAGCAGGGGAUCUUCGGACCUUGCGCGAUUGAAUGAGCCGAUGUCGGAUUAGCUAGUUGGCGGGGUAAAGGCCCACCAAGGCGACGAUCCGUAGCUGGUCUGAGAGGAUGAUCAGCCACACUGGAACUGGGCCACGGUCCAGACUCCUACGGGAGGCAGCAGUGGGGAAUAUUGGACAAUGGGCGCAAGCCUGAUCCAGCCAUACCGUGUGGGUGAAGAAGACCUUCGGGUUGUAAAGCCCUUUUGUUGGGAAAGAAAAGCAGCAGGUUAAUACCCCGCUGUUCUGACGGUACCCAAAGAAUAAGCACCGGCUAACUUCGUG
rnacentral:rRNA from 1 species